UACAGAGGGUGCAAGCGUUAAUCGGAAUUACUGGGCGUAAAGCGUGCGUAGACGGUUAUUUAAGUCAGGUGUGAAAGCCCAGGGCUCAACCUUGGAAUUGCAUUUGAGACUGAAUAGCUAGGGUGCGGAAGAGGGAAGCGGAAUUUCCGGUGUAGCGGUGAAAUGCGUAGAUAUCGUAAGGAAGACCAGUGGCGAAGGCGGGUCUCUGGACAGUUCCUGACGCUGAGGCACGAAGGUCAGGGGAGCAAACGGG
rnacentral:rRNA from 1 species